rnacentral:rRNA from 1 species
UACAGAGGGGGCAAGCGUUAUUCGGAAUUAUUGGGCGUAAAGGGCGCGUAGGCGGCUUCGCAAGUGGAAGGUGAAAUCCCUCGGCUUAACCGAGGAACUGCCCCCCAAACUGCUUUGCUUGAGGCCGGGAGAGGCGAGUGGAAUUCCCAGUGUAGCGGUGAAAUGCGUAGAUAUUGGGAGGAACACCAGUGGCGAAGGCGGCUCGCUGGACCGGUUCUGACGCUGAGGCGCGAAAGCGUGGGGAGCAAACGGG